CCGCGAUUGGUGGAGGAUGGAGAAACCUGGUGGUGACAUCUCAUAAAAGGUGAAUACUUCGCCUUUGUGCACCCAGGUCUCUGUCACACAAGCCAGGUCAACCCCCAGCGAGAUAAGUCUCGCAAGGUGGCAGUUUUAUUGCCUAUGGACCUGGCAUUGCACAGCACCAAUGACGGAGAUGGAUAAUCCCUGUUCAUGUCCCUUGGGAUGGGGAGUAGCUUGGAAGGGGUUCGAGCAUCAUCGCAUCUCAAAAUCCUUCAUAGAUAAUAUUUACCCCCACUGCCGUACCUCCCUUGCCCUUUGACGGUGGCAAUCCCAGACCCCACGCUAGCCUCCCCUGUAGAGGAAUGAUAACAUAACAUCCCUGGGCCAAGUCUCCCAAAUUGAAAAGGUAUGAUAUUGAGAUGAAAAAUCAGCAGGACAAACAUCCCCAAUAGGUAAAACCCAUCCAGCCACACCCCAGGUAGUGAGGGGAGCCCCACACUAGUCCACUAACUGUCAAUCCCUCUCUCCCUCAUAAGGUAGCCAGGCUAUUAACUCUUUCUGUGCCUUUGGGAGUAUUAAAGAGGCAUGUGCUGUAAAAUGGAGGUCACUAGCCAGCAGAGAGCCGCUUCAUGUUCAGAGACUCCGUCCGUCCUAUCUCACCAAAGAUGCAAUAGAGUCAGUCAUUCUUGUAAGUUUUAGGAGUAUUAGGCAAAGGCCCAAGUAUAGCCUGGGUGCUUGGUUUCAGCAAUCUAUCUGCGACAUGAAGUUCUUUAGAAGUUGUUGCCAUGAGAGUGUCAGAGUUGCCAGGUUCAUCUUCUCCAUCGCUAUCGCUUGGGAAAAGAUCAGGGAAUUGCAUAGUCGUCUUUCCUCGAGAUGAAGGGCUAUUGGGCAUAUUUCGAUAUUGUGUUCCGAGCUAUAAUGUCCUUAUGUUUUGAAUUGAGAUUUCAGUCUUUAUGCUCAAUAAUCUCCUCUUCAGUUCUUCUAAUUCUUCUAAUUCUUCUAAUUCCAAACUCACGGGUUUAUCUUCCUCCUUCGUGCAGGUAUUGUUUCUUAUUGGCGUUUGCUUUGGUUCUCUGCCGGGGACUGGCUGCCUCACUGUCUCAUCCUUGAAAACCCUUAUCAGGUAAAGAAGGGGUUUUCACACCGUACAGUAUCUGCUCUCUGACCGGGCUUGGUUUAAAAGCCUCCAAGUAUUCCUUGGAUCGAGCAGUGCUAAUAUUUGCUCUGCUAAUCUUUCCACCAAACUGGCCAGCUUCUGGAUUAAACACUGGAUGAAAUGCAGAUUACGUUCUGUAUUUAAAACAAAUGUCAAAUCAAUAAAAAAUUUUCAGGAGAAAUGCUAAAAAUAUAAUUGAGAAGAGACAAUUUAAGGAAAAUUCACCAGAAAGUAUUCCUCUUUGUUGCGGUUAGUGGCUGUGGACAUGGCAUAACAUUACAGCACAUGACUCCACCCCCCAAGAAUCAUGGGAACUGUAGUUUGCCCCUAAACUAUAAGUCUCAGCACAACACAUGACUGGCUUAUCAUAGAGACCACUGCAUGCAAAAACUUGUGGUGCUAGAAGAUCUUGCGCCUUAUAUUUACCCUGGGAUCCCAACCACCGCUGCCCAGGACACCAGAGUCAACUCUACGGCUGCAAAUAUAACGUUUGAAGUGUUUAAGGUGCAUUAUACAAAUGUGACACUAGAUGGCAAUUGUGAGGUUAUGGCAAAUUCAAUAUAUUCUUCAAAACACCUUUUUUUUUUAAAGUGUUUUCAUUUUUUAGAUUCCACCACUCACACAGGUUCAACGGAGUUGCUGUCCAUCUGAAGAUCAUAAGGCCUUUUGUGCCUAUAAUUAUCCCUCAGUUGGUAAAAUCAAAGAAGUACAAAAUACUUUACAACUCUCUCUCUCUCUCUCUCUCUCUCUCUCUCUAUAUAUAUAUAUAUAUAAAUGUUGGAAACAAGCCUCCUUCUUCGGGAGAAGCUGGCAACUCUCCCAGGCUCCCGGCUUGGUAUCCGGUGACCUCCCUGGCUGCAAUCCCCGCAGGAUCCAGGCUAGGUCUCAAUAGGCGACACUUCCCAGCGUGGGAAAUGCACACCCCCUCCCUCCUGCUUCCCUGGCAGGGAAAAGAGAUAGUCAGAAACGUCUGUUUACAUCCUUUAUUUCUGACUUUGCAGCACUACAG